CCUACGGGUGGCAGCAGUGAGGAAUAUUGGUCAAUGGGCGCGAGCCUGAACCAGCCAAGUCGCGUGAGGGAGGACGGCCCUACGGGUUGUAAACCUCUUUUGCCGGGGAGCAACGGGCGUCACGUGUGGCGCCACUGAGAGUACCCGGAGAAAAAGCAUCGGCUAACUCCGUGCCAGCAGCCGCGGUAAUACGGAGGAUGCGAGCGUUAUCCGGAUUUAUUGGGUUUAAAGGGUGCGUAGGCGGAUCGUUAAGUCAGUGGUCAAAUUGCGGGGCUCAACCCCGUACUGCCGUUGAAACUGCAUCCCUUGAGUGCGCGAGAAGUAUGCGGAAUGCGUGGUGUAGCGGUGAAAUGCAUAGAUAUCACGCAGAACUCCGAUUGCGAAGGCAGCAUACCGGCGCGCAACUGACGCUCAUGCACGAAAGCGUGGGUAUCGAACAGGAUUAGAUACCCGAGUAGUC
rnacentral:rRNA from 1 species